rnacentral:rRNA from 1 species
GAUGAACGCUAGCGAUAGGCUUAACACAUGCAAGUCGAGGGGCAGCGAGGGUAGCAAUACCUGUCGGCGACCGGCGCACGGGUGAGUAACGCGUAUGUAACCUGCCCGCAACAGGGGGAUAACCCGGCGAAAGUCGGACUAAUACCGCAUAAAACAGGGGUCCCGCAUGGGAAUAUUUGUUAAAGAUUUAUCGGUUGCGGAUGGGCAUGCGUACCAUUAGGUAGUUGGUGAGGUAACGGCUCACCAAGCCUUCGAUGGUUAGGGGUUCUGAGAGGAAGGUCCCCCAAACUGGUACUGAGACACGGACCAGACUCCUACGGGAGGCAGCAGUGAGGAAUAUUGGUCAAUGGGCGAGAGCCUGAACCAGCCAAGUCGCGUGAAGGAUGACUGCCCUAUGGGUUGUAAACUUCUUUUACAAGGGAAUAAAAUGAGAUACGUGUAUUUUAUUGCAAGUACCUUGGGAAUAAGCAUCGGCUAACUCCGUG